rnacentral:rRNA from 1 species
GAGUUUGAUCCUGGCUCAGGACGAACGCUGGCGGCGUGCCUAACACAUGCAAGUCACGGGGGCCCGCAAGGGCAACCGGCGAACGGGUGCGUAACACGUGAGCAACCUGCCUUUGUGUGGGGGAUAGCCGGGCUAACGCCCGGGUAAUACCGCAUACGGUCACCGGGAGGAGUCUCCUGGUGAAGAAACCUCCGGGGCACAGAGAGGGGCUCGCGGCCUAUCAGCUAGUUGGCGGGGUAAUGGCCCACCAAGGCGACGACGGGUAGCUGGUCUGAGAGGAUGGCCAGCCACAUUGGGACUGAGAGACGGCCCAGACUCCUACGGGAGGCAGCAGUGGGGAAUCUUGCGCAAUGGGCGAAAGCCUGACGCAGCAACGCCGCGUGCGGGAUGACGGCCUUCGUGGUUGUAAACCGCUUUCAGCAGGGACGAAAAUGACGGUACCUGCAGAAGAAGCCCCGGCUAACUACGUGCCAGCAGCCGCGGUAAUACGUAGGGGGCAAGCGUUGUCCGGAUUCAUUGGGCGUAAAGAGCUCGUAGGCGGUUCAGUAAGUCGGGUGUGAAAGCUCCGAGCUCAACUCGGAGAGGCCACCCGAUACUACUGUGACUUGAGUCCAGUAGAGGAGCGUGGAAUUCCUGGUGUAGCGGUGAAAUGCGCAGAUAUCAGGAGGAACACCAGCAGCGAAGGCGGCGCUCUGGGCUGGAACUGACGCUGAGGAGCGAAAGCGUGGGUAGCAAACAGGAUUAGAUACCCUGGUAGUCCACGCCGUAAACGUUGGGCACUAGGUGUGGGGAGGAUUCAACCCUUUCCGUGCCGCAGCUAACGCAUUAAGUGCCCCGCCUGGGGAGUACGGCCGCAAGGCUAAAACUCAAAGGAAUUGACGGGGGCCCGCACAAGCGGCGGAGCAUGUUGCUUAAUUCGAGGCAACGCGAAGAACCUUACCUAGGUUGAACUACGCAGGAAAAGCCACAGAGAUGUGGUGUCCUUCGGGGCCUGCGAUAGGUGGUGCAUGGCUGUCGUCAGCUCGUGUCGUGAAAUGUUGGGUUAAGUCCCGCAACGAGCGCAACCCUUAUCCUAUGUUGCCAGCGCGUAAUGGCGGGGACUCGUAGGAGACUGCCGGGGUCAACUCGGAGGAAGGUGGGGACGACGUCAAGUCAUCAUGCCCCUUAUGUCUAGGGCUGCAAACAUGCUACAAUGGCCGGUACAAAGGGCUGCGAGACCGCGAGGUUGAGCGAAUCCCAAAAAGCCGGUCUCAGUUCGGAUUGAAGUCUGCAACUCGACUUCAUGAAGCUGGAGUCGCUAGUAAUCCCGGAUCAGCAACGCCGGGGUGAAUACGUUCCCGGGCCUUGCACACAC